AUACUUAGCUGGCAGGAGAGAUGUCAUGAUCUAGAAAGUGGUUUUCCCAGGGUGUGCUGACCCUGUGAGGUCCCCAAAUGUGGGGAAACUCAACUGCACUAUUUGUGGCAGUGGAGGACUGCAGUCACACUUUCCCCUC
ensembl:snRNA U1 U1 spliceosomal RNA